UGGUCUUGACAUCCUACGAACUUACUAGAAAUAGUUUGGUGCCUUCGGGAACGUAGUGACAGGUGCUGCAUGGCUGUCGUCAGCUCGUGUCGUGAGAUGCUGGGUUAAGUCCCGUAACGAGCGCAACCCUUGUCCUUAUUUGCCAUCAUUAAGUUAGGCACUCUAGGGAGACUGCCGGUGACAAACCGGAGGAAGGUGGGGACGACGUCAAGUCAUCAUGGCCCUUACGACCAGGGCUACACACGUGCUACAAUGGAGCGUACAAAGGGUUGCGACCUCGCGAGAGUGAGCUAAUCCCAUAAAACGUUUCGUAGUCCGGAUCGCAGUCUGCAACUCGACUGCGUGAAGU
rnacentral:rRNA from 1 species